rnacentral:rRNA from 2 species
AGAGCUUGCUCUUAUGAAGUUAGCGGCGGACGGGUGAGUAACACGUGGGUAACCUGCCCAUAAGACUGGGAUAACUCCGGGAAACCGGGGCUAAUACCGGAUAACAUUUUGAACCGCAUGGUUCGAAAUUGAAAGGCGGCUUCGGCUGUCACUUAUGGAUGGACCCGCGUCGCAUUAGCUAGUUGGUGAGGUAACGGCUCACCAAGGCAACGAUGCGUAGCCGACCUGAGAGGGUGAUCGGCCACACUGGGACUGAGACACGGCCCAGACUCCUACGGGAGGCAGCAGUAGGGAAUCUUCCGCAAUGGACGAAAGUCUGACGGAGCAACGCCGCGUGAGUGAUGAAGGCUUUCGGGUCGUAAAACUCUGUUGUUAGGGAAGAACAAGUGCUAGUUGAAUAAGCUGGCACCUUGACGGUACCUAACCAGAAAGCCACGGCUAACUACGUGCCAGCAGCCGCGGUAAUACGUAGGUGGCAAGCGUUAUCCGGAAUUAUUGGGCGUAAAGCGCGCGCAGGUGGUUUCUUAAGUCUGAUGUGAAAGCCCACGGCUCAACCGUGGAGGGUCAUUGGAAACUGGGAGACUUGAGUGCAGAAGAGGAAAGUGGAAUU